rnacentral:rRNA from 1 species
CUGACGCAGCACGCCGCGUGGGUGAUGAAGGUCUUCGGAUUGUAAAGCCCUGUCUUCUGGGACGAUAAUGACGGUACCAGAGGAGGAAGCCACGGCUAACUACGUGCCAGCAGCCGCGGUAAUAC